rnacentral:rRNA from 1 species
UAUAUCCACAACACCAUGAAUGUGCCUAUCUUAGAAGCUAAGCAGGGUUGGGUCUGAUUAGUACUUGAAUGGGAGAAAAAUGGGCAUGGAGAGAA